AUUUCCAAUGCGAAAACACGAAGCUAACAUGAAUAGUAGCAGAAGAUGAACAAGACAUACAAGCAAUAGGAAGUUGGAAUCUGCCUUGAAGAAAUAUUGGAUAUGAAACUUACCGUCAUAAGUUUAUGAUACAAGAAAAUGAACACUAUUACAUAUAAGAGUCGAUUACAAACAACAAAACGGUCCCUGGAAAAUAUUGUUUAACAUCCGGUUUGAACGAGCAGUUGCCUUUUGCCAAGCAGCUCAAAAUUCUAGAACUUGGGAGUUAACUGAGGCCUUCUACAAACUCAAUUGGCUAGAAACAUCAUCUGUGCUUUGACCUUAUACUAGUCUUAACUCGUAUUCACCAG
rnacentral:misc_RNA from 1 species